CAGUCGCCACGGUAAUACGGAGGGGGCUAGUGUUGUUCGGAAUUACUGGGCGUAAAGCGCACGUAGGCGGCUUGGUAAGUUAGAGGUGAAAGCCCGGAGCUCAACUCCGGAAUUGCCUUUAAGACUGCCGAGCUAGCAGGUGAGAGAGGUAAGUGGAAUUCCGAGUGUAGAGGUGAAAUUCGUAGAUAUUCGGAAGAACACCAGUGGCGAAGGCGGCUUACUGGCUCAUACUGGACGCUGAGGUGCGAAAGCGUGGGGAGCAAACAGGAUUAGAUACCCCUGUAGUCCCUGUCUCUUAUAC
rnacentral:rRNA from 1 species